rnacentral:lncRNA from 1 species
GGGGAAUGGGGAGGGGACGGUAGCGUCAGCCUAGACCCACACGCAGAAGCUGACAAUGACUGUUGGGCUUUUCCAAUGAAUACCAGAACACCAUUUCCUGCAGCCUGAAAAGAAGACAGUAUAAUUAUUUGGCAGCAAGAGAAACCAGGUGCCCUACCAUGAGAAACCCAAGCCAUGUGGAGAAGCCACAUCUAGGGACUCCAGUUAACACUCUCAGCUGAGUUCCCAGCUGACAGUCAGCAUCAACUGCCAGCCACCUCUGCCUAAAAGUGGGCCAUCUUGGGCAUCCGGCCCAGUCAAGCCUUCAGAUGAGUCCAGUCCCAGCUACUAUCUCACACAACCACACGAGAGACAUCAAGAACUCCCAGUGGAGUCCAGUCAGCCCAUGGAACUGUAAGAGACAGGAUCUCACUGUGUUGCUCAGACUGGUCUCGAACUCCUGGGCUUAAGGGAUUAUCCUGCCUCAAUCACAGUCUCCCAAGUAGCUGAGAUUACAAGUGCUCACCACCGUGCCAGCCAGUUCAGUUUUUGAGAUCUGUCCCCUUUCACGAAGGAUUUAAGGCUAAAGAUUUAAGUUGUGAAGAUGAUGAUGGAUUGACUCUAUGAAUGGCACAUUUUUUUAUGCCUCCCUUUUCCCUUGUCCUUGGGCAGUGUCCUCCGACUGACUCUGUGCUUGGCCCUGUGACUUGCUUUGGCCAAUGGUACAGCAGCAAACUUGAUGCAAACACAACUUGAAAAAGAAGAGGACAGCCAAGUCAUCCCAGCCAAGGCCACCCUGGACCAGCCAGCCUCUUGCCAAGCUGCCAGUGACCACAGAGUCCAAUUAACAACAGCCAGUCCUGGCCCAGGCCAAGCUCAUAUGCCAAUUUCCUCAUGGAACCUUUCACUCCUCCAUCUCUUCGCCAAGUCGAAAUGUUAACUUCUGCUUCUCUGGACCUUGGUUUAAAGCUCUCCCAUCUGCUUUUUGCGCUAUGUUUAGGGUUAUGGCUGGAUGGGAAUAGAUCUGUCUCUUCCACUACUGGUAAAAUUGGUUCUUGCUUAGCAUGAUGUGGGCUCCCCACAUCUGGCACAGUGACUUGUGCAUGGUGGAGCCAAGACUCUGAGGAGAGGGCUGAACUGUGAACCUAGAAGUACCAUCUCCCCCUGCACACGCCUUUGGUCAAGUUGACCCCAAGAAGAAGGACAAGUCCUCUGCACACCGAUGACACCAUACACACAGUCUGUGGCCCGGCUUUGGGAGACUGAUGGGACAAAGGAUGCUUUGCAUGAUCCUUGGUCUCUGAGCAAAUAUAUACGUGGGUUAACACAAA